ACAAACUUGGUCAUUUAGAGGAAGUAAAAGUCGUAACAAGGUCUCCGUUGGUGAACCAGCGGAGGGAUCAUUACCGAGUUUACAACUCCCAAACCCCUGUGAACAUACCUAUCGUUGCUUCGGCGGGCCGCCCCAGGGCGCCCCGUCGGGGACACCAAACUCUUGUUUUUGUAACUGUAUCUUCUGAGUGGCGUAAAGCAAAAAUAAAUCAAAACUUUCAACAACGGAUCUCUUGGUUCUGGCAUCGAUGAAGAACGCAGC
rnacentral:misc_RNA from 1 species